rnacentral:rRNA from 1 species
AUUGAACGCUGGCGGCAGGCUUAACACAUGCAAGUCGAGCGGAGUGAUGGUGCUUGCACUAUUACUUAGCGGCGGACGGGUGAGUAAUGCUUAGGAAUCUGCCAUUUAGUGGGGGACAACAUUCCGAAAGGAAUGCUAAUACCGCAUACGUCCUACGGGAGAAAGCAGGGGAUCUUCGGACCUUGCGCUAAAUGAUGAGCCUAAGUCGGAUUAGCUAGUUGGUGGGGUAAAGGCCUACCAAGGCGACGAUCUGUAGCGGGUCUGAGAGGAUGAUCCGCCACACUGGGACUGAGACACGGCCCAGACUCCUACGGGAGGCAGCAGUGGGGAAUAUUGGACAAUGGGCGGAAGCCUGAUCUAGCCAUGCCGCGUGUGUGAAGAAGGCCUUUUGGUUGUAAAGCACUUUAAGCGAGGAGGAGGCUCUCCUAGUUAAUACCUAGGAAGAGUGGACGUUACUCGCAGAAUAAGCACCGGCUGACUCUGUGCCAGCCGCCGCGGUAACAC